CAGAGUUUAUCUAACGUUUCGGCUACCACUGCAGUCUUUGAGAAAGGCUGCAGUGGUAGCCGAAACGUUAGAUAAACUCUGUAAGUAAAAUAAAUUUUGAUCUUUUUAAGUCCUGUGAGUGCGGUACCGUUUAUCUUCGUAUAUAUAUAUAUAUAUAUAUAUAUAU
ensembl:scaRNA